AGCAGCCGCGGUAAUUCCAGCUCCAAUAGCGUAUAUUAAAGUUGUUGCAGUUAAAAAGCUCGUAGUUGAAUUUCGGGAUCAAUAUGUUGGUCGUGCCUUGGUACGUACUGGCAUUAUUGGUUUCUACCUUCUGAAGAACCUCGAUGUCAUUAAUUUGGUGUCUUGGGGAAUCAGGACUGUUACUUUGAAAAAAUUAGAGUGUUUAAAGCAGGCUCGCGCUUGAAUACAUUAGCAUGGAAUAAUGAAAUAGGACGUUUGAUUCUAUUUUGUUGGUUUCUAGGAUCGACGUAAUGAUUAAUAGGGAUAGUUAGGGGCAUUAGUAUUCAAUUGUCAGAGGUGAAAUUCUUGGAUUUAUUGAAGACUAACUACUGCGAAAGCAUUUGCCAAGGAUGUUUUCAUUAAUCAAGAACGAAAGUUAGGGGAUCGAAGACGAUCAGAUACCGUCGUAGUCUUAACCAUAAACUAUGCCGACUAGGGAUCGGAUGAUGUUAAUUUUUUAAUGACUCAUUCGGCGCCUUAC
rnacentral:misc_RNA from 1 species